rnacentral:tRNA from 1 species
GGGGGUGUAGCUCAGAGGGAGAGCGGCUGCUCCGCAAGCAGCGGGCCGUCGGUUCGAGUCCGACCACUUCCACCA